GACGAACGCUGGCGGCGUGCUUAACACAUGCAAGUCGAACGGAAAGGCCUGCUUUCCCUUGUGGAUUGCGGGUACUCGAGUGGCGAACGGGUGAGUAACACGUGAGUGAUCUGCCCCCAACUUGGGUAUAAGCCUGGGAAACUGUGUCUAAUUCUCGAUAGGACUGCAGGGUGGUGCCUGUGGUGGAAAACGAUUUUCUAGUGGUUGGGGAUGAGCCGGCGGCGUAUCAGCUUGUUGGUGGGGUAAUGGCCUACCAAGACGGGGACGGGUAGCCGGCGUGGGAGGGUCGACAGCCGCACUGGGACAGGGACCCGGCCCAGACGGGUAGGAGAAGCAGCGGAGGGGAAUAAAGCGGCGUGAGCGGGAGCCAGACGCAGCGAGGCCGCGUGGGAGAUGACGGGGUUGGGAUUGUAGUCUGCUUGCGACCAAAAGGAGGCGACCUGGUUGGAGGGGUGGUGACGGUACUGGUAGAAGAAGCACCGGCUAACUACGUG
rnacentral:rRNA from 1 species